CCAGUGUUACACCGAGGUUACUGUAAUUACUAUGUUGAGGUUAAUAGAAAUCUACAUAGGUAAAGACAAGACUCAAAUAUAUUAAAAGUAAACGUUCAUUUACUAAUGCAUAACAUUAGUGAUAACUUUGGAUUUCAUAUUCUUGUUUUUGAAACUGAUACACCAGUAUUUUCCUUUACUUUAAUAUUUAAAUAAUAUAAAGGGUAAAGGUAAGCUAUUAAGUAAUUGUCUUACUUAGUAAUUAAGACUGUAUUAUUGGUAAAUCAACUAAGAGCAUUAUUUUAUGUAAAUAGUGCAAUUGAAAAGUAUUGGUGUGAUGUAAGAUGCCCUGGGUAUUUUAUUUGGUUUUGCCCUUUUAUUGGUCACUGAGACAGUCCGUCAAGGGCGUGACUCAAGAUUGGAAGAGGACAGAGAGGAGGGCUCGAGAGAGAAAACGGAGAGGAAGACGAGCGGACAGGAAGGGAGGGAAAAAAGAAACUGACUCGAGGAAGAGAAGAUGAGACAAAAGCACGGGAGAGGACAAAGUUCGGAAGAAGUUAGAGGAACUUGGUUGCCGCGAGAGGGGCGGGACCAGAGGAGACAGAUGCAAGUAGUCAUGACGAGUUUUGAGCUGAGCUAAGUGAGCUAGCCGCUUCAGGCUCACGGGUUUGGCUGCGUUUAAUGGAGGUCGGGGAUUGGACGAGUGAAUUGCAACGCUCUCAAUGUUUUCCUAUGGGGUUUCAACUCCUAUUCGUCUAACAGGCCUGCAACAUUUUCACACUAUCCUGGAGGUCGAAUCCUCAAGUCCUGGUUUCAUGCUCUUGCAACCUUCAGCUCUGGCUCAACGUCCUCAGUGUUGGAUCCCACUUCAGCCUAAGUAUUCAAACCUCAGAAGAAUCCAAGUUUGGUUCAAUCUCCAGUUGACAGCUCAGUACCAAUUCCUCCAGACAAGCGAACCCUGCUCACCCUCCACCAACUAAUCACCAAAGACUCACCAGUUUCACAGACGGUGAAGGCUGCAUUACCAGAAACAGCCACUUCCACCCUCCAGUCCUUU